rnacentral:lncRNA from 1 species
GAAAGCGAAGAUUAUAGCUUAGAGAGAUCAUUAUCUGGUUGAGAGGGAUCAUUACUUCCGACAGAUGAAGAUUCACCAGAAGGAGGUGGGGAGUGUAACACCCUUCUAAAAUACCCCAAUUAUUUAGUAACAACAACAAGUAUAUAUCAGAGUAAUCAUGCACCAAGGGUGUCACACAACAUUUCACACCAUAAAACUGUCAUGCUCUUUAUUCAAUCAAA